CCUACGGGUUGCAGCAGUGGGGAAUAUUGCACAAUGGGCGCAAGCCUGAUGCAGCCAUGCCGCGUGUAUGAAGAAGGCCUUCGGGUUGUAAAGUACUUUCAGCGGGGAGGAAGGCGAUAAGGUUAAUAACCUUGUCGAUUGACCUUACCCGCAGAAGAAGCACCGGCUAACUCCGUGCCAGCAGCCGCGGUAAUACGGAGGGUGCAAGCGUUAAUCGGAAUUACUGGGCGUAAAGCGCACGCAGGCGGUCUGUCAAGUCGGAUGUGAAAUCCCCGGGCUCAACCUGGGAACUGCAUUCGAAACUGGCAGGCUGGAGUCUUGUAGAAGGGGGUAGAAUUCCAGGUGUAGCGGUGAAAUGCGUAGAGAUCUGGAGGAAUACCGGUGGCGAAGGCGGCCCCCUGGACAAAGACUGACGCACAGGUGCGAGAGCGUGGGGAGCAAACAGGAUUAGAUACCCUCGUAGUC
rnacentral:rRNA from 1 species